UGCAGUCGAGCGGAACGAGUUAUCUGAACCUUCGGGGAACGAUAACGGCGUCGAGCGGCGGACGGGUGAGUAAUGCCUAGGAAAUUGCCCUGAUGUGGGGGAUAACCAUUGGAAACGAUGGCUAAUACCGCAUGAUGCCUACGGGCCAAAGAGGGGGACCUUCGGGCCUCUCGCGUCAGGAUAUGCCUAGGUGGGAUUAGCUAGUUGGUGAGGUAAGGGCUCACCAAGGCGACGAUCCCUAGCUGGUCUGAGAGGAUGAUCAGCCACACUGGAACUGAGACACGGUCCAGACUCCUACGGGAGGCAGCAGUGGGGAAUAUUGCACAAUGGGCGCAAGCCUGAUGCAGCCAUGCCGCGUGUAUGAAGAAGGCCUUCGGGUUGUAAAGUACUUUCAGUCGUGAGGAAGGCGGCGUCGUUAAUAGCGGCGUUGUUUGACGUUAGCGACAGAAGAAGCACCGGCUAACUCCGUGCCAGCAGCCGCGGUAAUACGGAGGGUGCGAGCGUUAAUCGGAAUUACUGGGCGUAAAGCGCAUGCAGGUGGUUUGUUAAGUCAGAUGUGAAAGCCCGGGGCUCAACCUCGGAAUAGCAUUUGAAACUGGCAGACUAGAGUACUGUAGAGGGGGGUAGAAUUUCAGGUGUAGCGGUGAAAUGCGUAGAGAUCUGAAGGAAUACCGGUGGCGAAGGCGGCCCCCUGGACAGAUACUGACACUCAGAUGCGAAAGCGUGGGGAGCAAACAGGAUUAGAUACCCUGGUAGUCCACGCCGUAAACGAUGUCUACUUGGAGGUUGUGGCCUUGAGCCGUGGCUUUCGGAGCUAACGCGUUAAGUAGACCGCCUGGGGAGUACGGUCGCAAGAUUAAAACUCAAAUGAAUUGACGGGGGCCCGCACAAGCGGUGGAGCAUGUGGUUUAAUUCGAUGCAACGCGAAGAACCUUACCUACUCUUGACAUCCAGAGAACUUUCCAGAGAUGGAUUGGUGCCUUCGGGAACUCUGAGACAGGUGCUGCAUGGCUGUCGUCAGCUCGUGUUGUGAAAUGUUGGGUUAAGUCCCGCAACGAGCGCAACCCUUAUCCUUGUUUGCCAGCGAGUAAUGUCGGGAACUCCAGGGAGACUGCCGGU
rnacentral:rRNA from 1 species